GAUGCGGAGCUUGCUCCCUGAAGUCAGCGGCGGACGGGUGAGUAACACGUGGGCAACCUGCCUGUAAGACUGGGAUAACUCCGGGAAACCGGGGCUAAUACCGGAUAAUUCUUUCCCUCACAUGAGGGAAAGCUGAAAGAUGGCUUCGGCUAUCACUUACAGAUGGGCCCGCGGCGCAUUAGCUAGUUGGUGAGGUAACGGCUCACCAAGGCAACGAUGCGUAGCCGACCUGAGAGGGUGAUCGGCCACACUGGGACUGAGACACGGCCCAGACUCCUACGGGAGGCAGCAGUAGGGAAUCUUCCGCAAUGGACGAAAGUCUGACGGAGCAACGCCGCGUGAGUGAUGAAGGUUUUCGGAUCGUAAAACUCUGUUGUUAGGGAAGAACAAGUGCCGGAGUAACUGCCGGCACCUUGACGGUACCUAACCAGAAAGCCACGGCUAACUACGUGCCAGCAGCCGCGGU
rnacentral:rRNA from 2 species